AACACUGCAUAUUAUCAUUGUACAACAAGCAUGUCAUAUUGUACUGUAUAGGUUUACUCAUUUUUGGCCCUUUCUGGCCCAAUUUGAUUGGCUCUUCAACACGUGGAAGUACAAAACAAAUUGCAUCUGCAUAUACUCGAAAGGUCUCAUUUGAAGCAACACUGAAUCUGUAUCUUUGUAUCCUGCAACUUAGCCCCUCUCAAAAUUGAAACUGCAUGAUUGGAAGGUCCUUUUUGAAAUGUGUCAACCGAUAGAAGAAAUGUAACAAUAUCAAAUGUCUCAGAAGCCAUUGUUGACAUCCCAGUUCCAAAAGAUGUCAAAUUAUAAUUAUGUCCACCGACAAUAGAAGAUGCAGAUGAUCAUUCCAAAUCUAAUAUAGUGUAUGAGGAGAUCAUUCAAAAUGCAUUCACAUGAAAUCCUAACUUCUCUAUCAUUCGGAAGAAAAUCUACUAAACCAAAAAAGCCACCAAAUGUUUUCCAGUAAAAGCUAUUAGAAGACUCCGCACUACGUAACAAG